GGUGGAGGUGGAGGUGGAGGUGGGGGAGGCAGCGUUUAUUGGGGAAGGAAGGGAGAUGAAUUCAAGGGAAUUGUCGUCAUUUUCGCCUGGAUUUCACUACCUGAGAAUGACCUGAAGAGCUACGUGGAUUUGUACUCCUCUCUUGGUUGGAAUUCGCUUGUUUCUCGUGCCGAUUUUCUCAGCGCGUAACACUCACACACUCUCUUUUUGUUUACUUAGAAAAUGAGGGAAAUGAUGGGGAAAAAUGAUUUCUUUUUUUUUUCUUUUUGGGUAUUUGGUGGAAAAGGGGUAUUGUUUUUAGGGGUUAUGUUAAAUAUCUUUCUUACUUUUCCUAGACACCAAAAUAAUGCCAUAACGAGAUCUAUAGUUUCUUUGUGAUGAUAGUUAGUCAGUGAUCAAUUAGAGUUUUGUUCUGUAUGCGCCCAUUUCAGCUAUCAUAAAGUUGUUGCUGUUGAAUUAUAGUGAAGUAAAUGAUGCUAGUUCUGCAACUUUUGAAAAUGCCUCCCGGUGGUUUCAUCUUUGAAAGUACCUGGUGCUACUACAUAUUUCGCAUUAUGCUUCUUGGUAUUAAGCAUGUGUACUGGGUCUCCAGAGGGAUGUUGCUAAAGUUUCUUGUUUGAUGUUCUUAUCUGUGGAAUGAUAAGACAUUACCGUCUGAGCACUCUAUUUUUAUUUAUUGUUUUUUUGUCAACCUUGCUGAGGGAGAGAUUGAAUAGGAUCUUAUUUUAUUUAGUUUUACGUUUUAUGAAUUGAAUCUAACCCAUAUGAUUGAAAUCGGAUGGGUUGAUAGGGCAGGCUGCCGAGCUAUGAAAAUCCUUUGGUUAUGAUACAAAGUUGUCAAGAAAUGGUCCAUGCGACAAAUUGGGGGACGGAAAUGUUGGAGGUUGAAUGAGUGGCAGCACUACUACUCUACUAGGGAUAACCAUAUGACAUUUUUGACAAAUGCAUUAUUGAAGAAUUUGGAUCUAGCUCUAAUUGAUACAAGAUGAAGAGGAUGCAUGCAUUACCCCAGUGAGAAGAGUGGUCUGGUUCACUUUGAAGCUGGUAAAAAGAUAGAGGUCAAAAGCCAAUUGGUUGAAUACAGAAUUAUGAUAAAGAGUUCUUUGAAUCAAGUAUCUAAAGGCUUUCUGAUGAGGCUAAUCCGUUAUUUUCUUUUUUUGUUGAUUUAUUUGAAGAUAUAUUUUGUUUAAAAUGAUCAAUUUAAGGAGGGUAAACUUAUGGUUUAACGUAAACUCUUUUGAAUAUAUUUAUUAGAUUGAAAUUGAAACCCAAAAAAAAAGAAGAGUGUAUUGAGAAAUAAAAUGGUGCUCAAGUUUUUAUCCUCUUCCUUUACUUUUGUUUGGGUUGGGGAAGUUAUUGGCACUUGAAAUUUUAGAUUAUUUUCCUAAGAAUUUUAGAUUUGUGCAUGUUAACUGUUGAAUGAUAAAACUUUGUGCAGAUUUUGUCCUCAAAAGGCCUUGUCGCUUGCAUAUAUUAUCCUCAAUGAGCUUGUUGAGGUCAGUUACAUGGAUUUUUGAAUAUCAGAUGUGUAAUUAGUUUUGAAUUUAUAUCUAUGUGUUUUAUGGAAUUCCAUUUGAUGCAGGGGCUUUGUAUUUGUGGGAGCCCAUAGUUGUGAAAUUAAGGCCUUUAAAAUCAUAAAUCUACUUGACAUGGUGUGGGAUCCCAUACAAAAUAAUUGCGAGCACAGUGAGAUGAAUUAGGCUGUUAUUAGCUUUCAAUAUUUUUGGAAGUACUGCAUAAGGUAAAUACCUAUUGGUUAUGGAUUUGCAGGAGCUAAGGAUUAGACCAUGUCCAAUUGCUUUUGCUGCUUUUUCUGGUGGUCCCCAAGCUUGCAUGUACAAGGUUUUCCAGGUAAAUUUGAUACAAUCUUUUAGAAAUCUAAUUCUUGUGGAAAAUAAACUGCAGCCAAGCGUCUUGUUUGUUUUUCCUAUAAUCCUGAUGGGUUGGAGAUCCUGUCCUCAUUCCUCAACCUCUCACCCUCCAUCCCCUCUCCUUGCUUUGCUGAUUUCCCCCUUCCAACUUUGCCAAUGAAAAUAAUUUUGCUGCACAAAAUGCAGAUCAUUCAAGGAACAUGUGAUGGUGAUGGUAAUCUGGUAGGCAUUUCUCCUCUUUAUUUUUCUUUUCCCUUGUUAUUAAAGGUCCAUCAAACUUGUUCACUUUUUAAUUUGUUUUCUUUUUUACUUCUUAUCUUGUGUAGGAUGAGAGUCGAUUGCUCAGAAAUUGUGUUUCUGGGCAUAUCUAUGACUCUAGCCCACUUGAUUUCACAAGUGAUUUGGGUGCCCAAUUUGCUUUGCCCCCUGCCAUUCAAAAGAUGCCGGGUCCUUCAAAACUUGUGUCUUGGUUUGCAAAAGGAGUUACUUCUGCCCUAGAUGGUUUAUAUCUUACCAGGUUUGAUUCCCAGCGUGCUGAGUAUUGGCAGACUUUGUAUUCUUCAGUUGAUUUUGGGGCUCCUUACCUAGUAUUAUUCUCAGAGACUGAUCACCUUGCACCUUACAGAAGUAUCUACAGAUUUGCUCAACGUCUACAAGAUCUUGGGGGAGAUGUUAAGCUUGUGAAGUGGAAUGUUUCACCUCACAUUGGUUUGUGCAGCCUUUUCUCUCCAAUACGAGUUGUGCAUGUGCAGCAAUGUUAAAUGAUAAAUACUCUUACUGCUUAUGUUCAGUGGCAAAUCCACAUAAUCAAGAAGGGUGCCAACCACAACCUUUAUUUGUCUAUUAAAAUUAUAUUGAGAGUUAAAGGGUUGAGAAAAUAAAUUCAAAAAUAUAAUAUAUUCUCCUAAAAAAUUCAAAUUGUUGUGCGGACUACAUUAGUGAAUUCAUUGAUUGAUUUUCUUUUUCAUGCUAUAUUUUUCUUAAACAAUUUUAAUUCCCAAAAUUAUUAUGCUCCAUUAUUUUGUUAGGAUGUUUUAAUUAUUUCUCUUUAUUGAAUAUCAAAUGACGCUCUUUUUUUUUAUUAUUUUUUUUCAUUAGUGUGUUAGUAUAGUUGUUUGCCUUUUUAGUUGGUAGACUCGUAGAUGUGCCUAUCAUUAUUAAUAUUCCCCAAUUUGAUUUUGCAUGACAAUUUUUUUGUCCACAAUUAGAAAAUUAUUUAGAUAGAUAAAUUGUGGCAAAUUGAAAAUUCAUUUAUGAAAAUUUUGAUUUUAGUAAUUUAUUCUUUAUAUGGAUAAAAUAUUGUAACUUAAUAAUUUUAUAUUUGAAAAUAUCCUUUCUAUUAUAGAAUGCUCUUGUAAUAAGCAGGGCAAAGCCAGAACUUCAAAUUGAAGGAAGAAUGGACAUGCGUGUGUGCGGGGUGGGUGGGUUUGGUUGCUCAAAUAGAUAUAGUAGUUAUUUUUUCCUACUACAAUAGAUGAGUGUUAGGUGAUAAUUCCUUCUUAAAUAUUGAUAUCCAGCUAAAGUUUAUGCUGAGGUGAAGACUGAAAGACUGGAUAACUUUUGUUGAGUGACAAUUAAUGAGAACUUAAAUCCAAACCAUAUGAUCUCUGUUUGGAACUUUGUUUAUGCUGUUGAUGUGUAUCUUGUGCUCAAUAUAU
rnacentral:misc_RNA from 1 species